CGUCCGUUACGUUGGUGACGUCACCACGAGCGCGAGAAGUCGAAGGUAGGAGCAGAAAGCGGUGUUAGUGUUAGUUCUGGCCCGUUUGGACCCAAACUAAAGUGUAUCAGUAUGAAGCAGGCGGUGACGGCGCACUGAUUCACUCUCGGAGCUCGGUUCACUAAUGACCGAAUCACCGAGGAACCGACCAAAUAUAACUCACACCCGCACGGAGAAGAAGAACAAGAGGAGGAGAAGAUGAACUGGAGUGGGGCAAAGAGAACUGCAUUCAGAUCAAACGGAUACAAGAGAGGUGGCCGAGUUGUUUGAGGAUCUAAAGAAUUGAGUGUCACAAUUCAACAUGCACAUCAGCGAAACUUUUCCCUCUGACUACACCAGCACGCACGCACAGAAAUUCAUAGUGCAGGUGGCAAUUGCAGGCACAUUUUAUCCGAACUGCUUCCUCCAGGGAACUCUAUGGAAACGACCCCAGGACCACCAUAGUGGUAUUCAGUGUGUAAUCUCCCUCCAUUUGCAUUCCUCUACUAUAAACAGCUCCAGUCUCUCUUCAGACACUGUGGUUAAAUCAAAUCCAUCUCCUUUGACAGCUCCAGCUGUGUGUGACACCACUGGCCUAUGUAGAGUUCUACCGCUCGUCAAUGAGAGGUUCUGGCGUUCUCCCAGAGGUCUCUCUGUCUCUCCUCCUCACGCAGAAGAGACUUCCUCUCCAUCUCAACGUUUAACCCGCUGGAGAGGUGGAGACUUGGGCAGGGGGGUAGUGUAUCUUACACCUCAGAUAUACACGGUACACACACACUCUGCAGCGAGCAUCAUCAGAUGAGUCAUGGUUACAUUUUAAGUGAGAGUAGUCAUGUGACCACAUCCCCUAGACAGUGUGAUGUUUAGAUGAUGUUCUGUACAUUAGUGCUGUUCUGUUACAGGUCUCUCUCUCUGUGUCUCUCUCACUCACUGUGUGUGUGUGUCUCUCUCAGGGUGAAUGUGGAUUUUCAGAAUCAGUCAGUGAGCCCUGUCGGGGUUCUGAGCAGCUCCAUUGAGUUGGAGAAUCUUCCGUCUAACCCUGUCUUUAUCGUCAAUAUCACCGAGGUGUCUGUUCCGCCUCUUUCACUUUCAGUGCACAAAUAAAAAAGAAGCUGUGGCUCCUGUGUGUGUGUGUGUGUGUGUGUGUGUGUGUGUGUGUGUGUGUGUGUGUGCGCACUAACAGGAGGUCCAGGUGCAGCCUUUGGAUAUUGAUGAAGAUUUACUGCCCCUGCAAGACCUUCCUCAACUGCGUAAUCUGGAGCAAAGGAUGCAACAGAGCCCAGAUUACAAGCAAAAUCUGGUAAACUGGUUGGCGCUUAUUGACGGGGUGUAUGUGCGUGACUGCACCUGGCGCAUAUUGAAGAGGGUGAUUGCUAACUCCCUGGCAAAGAAUCUCAAUUGGAGGGGAGUCAAUGGAAAGACUUCACUGUCCGCUCUCCAACUCGGAGAGGUCGUGAUUGGCAAGUAUAUCUGUUUACAUACAGAAUUAGCUGUCUCUCUAAGAUGAUAUGUAAGGGGUAAUCCACGGCUAGAUGUGCAUUAAACGAUUUUAAUGCAUGAUGUGGAGGAAAAGAACCACUCGUUCAAAUCGUUUAAUGCACACCUAGCCAUGGAUUACCCCGCCUAUACCAUGGUCUUUCCACAAUUAAUAACGUUAAAGCUGUCAUUGGUUUAGAAAUGCAAACUUUGAUU